rnacentral:rRNA from 1 species
GGAAGGGGUGUAUUUAUUAGAUUAAAAACCAAUGCCCUCUGGGCUCUUUGGUGAUUCAUGAUAACUUCUCGAAUCGCACGGCCUUGCGCCGGCGAUGGUUCAUUCAAAUUUCUUCCCUAUCAACUUUCGAUGUUUGGGUAUUGGCCAAACAUGGUUGCAACGGGUAACGGAGGGUUAGGGCUCGACCCCGGAGAAGGAGCCUGAGAAACGGCUACUACAUCCAAGGAAGGCAGCAGGCGCGCAAAUUACCCAAUCCCGACACGGGGAGGUAGUGACAAUAAAUACUGAUACAGGGCUCUUUUGGGUCUUGUAAUUGGAAUGAGUACAAUUUAAAUCCCUUAACGAGGAACAAUUGGAGGGCAAGUCUGGUGCCAGCAGCCGCGGUAAUUCCAGCUCCAAUAGCGUAUAUUAAAGUUGUUGUGGUUAAAAAGCUCGUAGUUGAACCUUGGGCCUGGCUGGCCGGUCCGCCUCACCGCGUGUACUGGUCCGGCCGGGCCUUUCCCUCUGUGGAACCUCAUGCCCUUCACUGGGUGUGACGGGGAACCAGGACUUUUAC